rnacentral:rRNA from 1 species
UCCUACGGGAGGCAGCAGUGGGGAAUUUUGGACAAUGGGGGAAACCCUGAUCCAGCAAUGCCGCGUGUGUGAAGAAGGCCUUCGGGUUGUAAAGCACUUUUGUCAGGAACGAAACGGUGGGAGCUAAUACCUCCUGCUAAUGACGGUACCUGAAGAAUAAGCACCGGCUAACUACGUGCCAGCAGCCGCGGUAAUA